CAAUUAACAAAGCCGGAAGUUGGAUAAAUUACAGUUUGAAAUCGUGGCGCUUGGCGUAAAGUCCAGAGAAAAAAUAUAUGAAAAACUCGAUUCUCUGGGAGAGGGUUAGACAAUACCAACGACACGAUAGUUGCCAUCGAAAAGGUGGGGAUUAAAGAUACCAUUCUGGUGCUGACUCCAGCCAACAUCAAAGGCUUCAUAGUGAUGACUACUGGGCCUGGAGUACAUGCACCACACACUGUCAUACAAUACACACCUUCUCAUAGGUGCUUGUGUCAGUAAACACUGUGUACGAUCUGAAGCCCAAUAACCUGCUGCUGGAUGAGAAUGGGCUGCUGAAGCGAUCUGAUUUUUGUUUGACUAAAACUCUCGGCAGCCCUACAGUCUACACUCACCAGGUGGCGUCGUUCUCCAGAGUUGUUCGGUGCCAGGAUGCAUGGGGUGGGCGUCGACAUGUGGGCCGUGGACUGCGUUCUUGCGGAGCUUCCGCAGGUACACACACCAUAAGCUCAGUCUAAUUUAAACAAGACAAAACAAGUUUGCCUGUAGAAUGGCACUGAAACUAGGCGGCUCAAUUGAACUUUGUUCUGAAAUUGUCUUGUCUCUGUGAUUUAAAAAUAAAUCUAGACUGAGCAUCAAGGUUCAGACUACUGUAUUGUCAGACACACACCUUUCUGUAUACAUAAUUCUGCAUCCCAAAUGGCAAGCUAUUCCCUGUAUAGUGUACUACUUUUGACCAGGGCACAAGGACUCUGUUCAAAAGUUGUACAAAUGUAGGGAAUGUGGUUGCCAUUUGAGACUCAUGUUCCCUGCUACUCUGUGGUAUAACACCCUCUGUCUCUCUCUUGUUACCAUUCCUAGCAGGAAACUCCUGGCCUGUGAGUGUCUGUCUUUUCGUUGUCUGCAUGUGUGGUUCAUUUAAGACUAAGCAACGCCUUGAAAAUAUCUGGGUCCUCAAUAAUACAUAGUGGAUUUAAAUAAUGCCUUCAUGUCUCUAACUCUAAUGUGAUACACAGUCCAGCACACAAACUGGGUCCCUGGGUCCUGUGUGGGGGGGUGAUCUGGCAUACAGACAUACAGCAGCCUGUCCCCCCUGCUGUUCAGUUCUGUGUCAGAACUACCUCCGGCUAUAGGAACCCCUGAGCCCCCCUCGGCCUCCCUUCUCUUUGGCUUUCCUCUGGAAGAGUUCUAAAUGGCACCCUAUUCCUAAUUUAGUGCACUAAUUUUGACCAGCGCUUAAAGCAGUGCACUAAAGGAGGCAUUUGGGAUGAAGUCAGUCUGUUUAUUCAGUGCUGUUUCUCCCAGCUCUACCCCCCCCUCCUCUCAACAGCCUCUGAGGGUGAGGUACUUUACGAACAGCCCCAGCUGCCCCAGCACAACUCCUCAUCUGAGCCUCUCAAAGAGAAUCAAGAGGAAACGAGAUGGUCUGGAGACAAGGAAUGAACAACACAGACACACACGCACAUCUCAGCAUUGGAAUCAAUAGCACAGACAUUAUUAUUCCAUCAUACACCAGAGAUAGAAGGUUAAAUACCUCCUUGACAUGUUUGUGUUUGACCAUGAUAUUAAUAACAACAUGGUAAAUAUUAUUCUGCUUGCUUAUUUAAACUGAUGGUUUGGCUUGUACAAAGGAUUCAAUGACUGGUUUCCAAUUUUGGAUUGGGCCAGCAAGGGCCUCCCGUACCUAGAAUGAAUACAUAUUUUUGUACUGUGACCAUGUUAUCAGAAGUAACCUCGUCAAUUAAACAUAAAUAUUCUCUCACA